UUUCCGUAGGUGAGCCUGCGGAAGGAUCAUUACAGAGUUCAUGCCCUCACGGGUAGAUCUCCCACCCUUGAAUAUUUAUACCUUAGUUGCUUUAGCAGGCCGUGGAAACACCAUGGGCUCCGGCUUAUGCGUGCCUGCCAGAGGAAACAAACUCUGUUUUUAGUGAUGUCUGAGUACUAUAUAAUAGUUAAAACUUUCAACAACGGAUCUCUUGGUUCUG
rnacentral:misc_RNA from 1 species